UACGUAGGGGGCAAGCGUUGUCCGGAAUCAUUGGGCGUAAAGGGUGCGUAGGCGGCGCGGUAAGUCGGGUGUGAAAUCUCGGGGCUUAACUCCGAAACUGCAUUCGAUACUACCGUGCUUGAGGACUGGAGAGGAGACUGGAAUUUACGGUGUAGCGGUGAAAUGCGUAGAUAUCGUAAGGAGGACCAGUGGCGAAGGCGGGUCUCUGGACAGUUCCUGACGCUGAGGCACGAAGGCCAGGGGAGCAAACGGG
rnacentral:rRNA from 1 species